CCUACCUAGUGCUCUUAGAAUCCAGGGAUUCCUUCGCAGCAUGCUUUGUGGAGUACUCUACUCUCCGCCCCCAGGCUCAGGGACCCUGAUUGAUUCUCACCUUCCCUGCCUCCCUUGCCAAGAUGGUCUUAGCUUAGUAUCAUAUCUGCAGAAAAACAAGCUUCCCGCCACACCUCGUGGUUAGCCCGCUCACCCCCUCCUCUGUCUUCUGCCAGGUCUGUAGCAGUCUCCAGUGUUCAGAGCAAUGGAGUCCAGAUGAGAAGCAAGUCCCUGUGCAUCUAUGGCUCACCAGGAUCCAGCUCUUGAAGGGUGACGACCACAAUUCCACCUGAAAAUUCCACUUUGACAUCUAACCUCUCCUCUGAUGUUCCUGACUUCGCUCUGCACUUCUUUAAUUGCAACAACUAUGCAAAUGAAAACGAUUGUGAAGGUUUUGGUCGGACAGGGUGCUGACAGCACAUUGUGUCCAUCUGAAUCCGUAUGUUGGAGGUUUCCAGCGGUGACACCUCCCCCAUUACAGACACACAAGGUAUAUCCAGUGACAAAGAAGCAAAAAGGAUCCAAGAGAAAGAAAUCAGAAAAUUUGAAUACAGAGGGAGGAAAGAAUUUAAGUUGUUACAAAGGCCCACAGUUUAAUCCAGUUGGAAAUCUAGAAUUUGGUAAAAGAAUUUAUACUCUGGUAAGACCUUUUUCCUUGACUGACAGCUGUCUUAUU
rnacentral:lncRNA from 1 species